rnacentral:rRNA from 1 species
UUCCGGUUGAUCCUGCCGGACCUGACUGCUAUCGGAUUAAUACUAAGCCAUGCGAGUUUUUGUAGUAAUACAAGGCAUACGGCUCAGUAACACGUAGUCAACCUACCCUAUGGACGAGGAUAAUCUCGGGAAACUGAGCAUAAUACUCGAUAGAUCAUAAUGCCUGGAAUGGUUUAUGGUUGAAAUGAUUCGUUCGCCAUAGGAUGGGACUGCGGCCUAUCAGCUUGUUGGUGAGGUAAUGGCCCACCAAGGCGAUUACAGGUACGGGCUCUGAGAGGAGAAGCCCGGAGAUGGGUACUGAGACACGGACCCAGGCCCUAUGGGGCGCAGCAGGCGAGAAAACUUUGCAAUGUGCGAAAGCACGACAAGGUUAGUCCGAGUGAUUUCUGCUAAAGGAAUCUUUUGUUAGUUCUAAAAAUACUAGUGAAUAAGGGGUGGGCAAGUUCUGGUGUCAGCCGCCGCGGUAAAACCAGCACCUCAAGUGGUCAGGAGGAUUAUUGGGCCUAAAGCAUCCGUAGCCUGUUCUAUAAGUUUGCGGUUAAAUCUAUACGCUCAACGUAUAGGCUGCCGUAAAUACUGUAGAACUAGGGAGUGGGAGAGGUAGACGGUACUCGAUAGGAAGGGGUAAAAUCCUUUGAUCUAUUGAUGACCACCUGUGGCGAAGGCGGUCUACCAGAACACGUUCGACGGUGAGGGAUGAAAGCUGGGGGAGCAAACCGGAUUAGAUACCCGGGUAGUCCCAGCUGUAAACGAUGCAGACUCGAUGAUGCAAUGGCAUAGAGCUAUUGCAGUAUCGCAGGGAAGCCGUUAAGUCUGCCACCUGGGAAGUACGUACGCAAGUAUGAAACUUAAAGGAAUUGGCGGGGGAGCACCACAAGGGGUGAAGCCUGCGGUUCAAUUGGAUUCAACGCCCGGA